UACGUAGGUGACCAGCGUUGUCCGGAUUUACUGGGCGUAAAGAGCGCGCAGGCGGUCGUUCAAGUCGAGUGUGAAAGCCCCCGGCUCAACUGGGGAGGGUCAUUCGAUACUGAUCGACUUGAAGGCAGGAGAGGGAAGCGGAAUUCCCGGUGUAGUGGUGAAAUGCGUAGAUAUCGGGAGGAACACCAGUGGCGAAGGCGGGUCUCUGGGCCGAUACGUGACGCUGAGGAGCGAAAGCAUGGGUAGCGAACAGG
rnacentral:rRNA from 1 species